rnacentral:rRNA from 1 species
UACGGAGGGUGCAAGCGUUAUCCGGAUUCACUGGGUUUAAAGGGUGCGUAGGCGGGCACUUAAGUCAGUGGUGAAAUCCCAGAGCUUAACUCUGGAACUGCCAUUGAUACUAUUUGUCUUGAAUAUUGUGGAGGUAAGCGGAAUAUGUCAUGUAGCGGUGAAAUGCUUAGAUAUGACAUAGAACACCUAUUGCGAAGGCAGCUUACUACGCAUAUAUUGACGCUGAGGCACGAAAGCGUGGGGAUCAAACAGG